CGGAAGCAGUGAUGUGGGUUAUGGUCGUUUUUCUGGUAGCCUUUAGUUUAAAAGGAUAAGCUUUUUCAUGGUUUUCACAAGCGCCUUGAGCACUUUAGUGGAGAUGUGCGCUUAAUAAAUCUUAUUAUUAUUAUUAUUAUUAUUAGCACUUCCAUCUGAAAUUCAGGAAAGAGUUGUUGAUAGAAUUACUGGAAAGACCUCACAGGCCAUUGAUAAUAAAGAUAUGACUUACAUCUGGGACUUUGCUGGCCAGCAGCUGUACUACAUCACACAUCGAAUAUUCUUAACAAGCGAAGCAGUGUAUGUGAUUUUGUUCAAUUUGCUGGAAAGUAUGUACGAAAAAGGGAAGAAAAGAGUCUAUAAGGGGG